AACCAGCACCUCAAGUGGUCAGGGUGAUUAUUGGGCCUAAAGCAUCCGUAGCCUGUUCUGUAAGCUUUCGGUUAAAUCUAUGCGCUCAACGUAUAGGCUGCCGAAAAUACUGCAGAACUAGGGAGUGGGAGAGGUAGACGGUACUCGGUAGGAAGGGGUAAAAUCCUUUGAUCUAUUGAUGACCACCUGUGGCGAAAGCGGCUGGCUGGGGCCACUCUGACGCUGAGGCGCGAAAGCGUGGGGAGCAAACAGG
rnacentral:rRNA from 1 species